UACGGAGGAUGCAAGCGUUAUCCGGAAUGAUUGGGCGUAAAGCGUCCGCAGGUGGCUGUGUAAGUCUGCUGUUAAAGAGCAAGGCUCAACCUUGUAAAGGCAGUGGAAACUACACGGCUAGAGUGCGUUCGGGGCAGAGGGAAUUCCUGGUGUAGCGGUGAAAUGCGCAGAUAUCCGGAGGAACACCGGUGGCGAAGGCGGCUUCCUGGACCGACACUGACGCUGAGGCGCGAAAGCUAGGGGAGCAAACGGG
rnacentral:rRNA from 1 species